GGACACCAAUAUUGGAAUUGGUGGAGAGGUGGAAUAUUGCGUAGGGGGGCCAGCCCUCCCCCCUCCCGUGUGAUGCUGGGACCCAACGGGUCCCACUUAGUCUAGUCUUAUAUAAAAACUGACUGC